AAUAUUAGUCAAUGCUCGAAAGAGUGAACUAGCUAACUGAAAUCAAUUAAAAAAAAAUUGAUAACAUAAGGGAAAAUAAUGAUAUUACCUUAUUAUUAGUGUCGUCCAAAACUGGUGCCAGAAGACUCGGUAAGGCCAGAGACAUAAACGUUAAUCGUCUUAAUCAGGCGUAAAGGGUUUGUAGGCGGCUUUAAAAUUUACUAAAAAAGAAAUAAAAUAAUAAGUAAAGAAUAAAAGCUAGAAUCAAAUAGAGGAUAUAUGAAAGAAUGCUUAGAGUAGGUCUGAUAUCCUUAGAUACUAAGUAGAAUAUUAAAGGCGAAAGCUUUUUUCCAUUAAUGAUUGACGCUCAGAAACGAAGGUGAGGAUAGGAAAUAGGAUUAGAUACCCAGAAUACCCCUCUCUGUCAACGAUGAAUGGUAGUUAUUAGUAAAAAUUUAUUAAUGGCAAUGUUAACACGAUAACCAUUCCGCCUUGUGAGUACAACUGCAAAGUUGAAAACAAAAAAAUUAGUCGGUUUCGGAGCAAACGAAGUGAAGCAUGUUAUUUAAUUC
rnacentral:rRNA from 1 species